rnacentral:snRNA from 1 species
AUCGUUUCUCAGCCUUUUAGAUCAAAUGUAGUAUCUGUUUUUAUCAGUUUAAUAUCUGAUAUGUCCUGUAUCCGAGGAUAAUAUAUUAGUAUUUGACUCAUAGACAAUAGUGUGGAAACCAUU